GUACACUCCUACGGGAGGCAGCAGUGGGGAAUAUUGGACAAUGGGCGCAAGCCUGAUCCAGCCAUGCCGCGUGAGUGAUGAAGGCCCUAGGGUUGUAAAGCUCUUUCACCGGUGAAGAUAAUGACGGUAACCGGAGAAGAAGCCCCGGCUAACUUCGUGCCAGCAGCCGCGGUAAUACGAAGGGGGCUAGCGUUGUUCGGAUUUACUGGGCGUAAAGCGCACGUAGGCGGACUAUUAAGUCAGGGGUGAAAUCCCGGGGCUCAACCCCGGAACUGCCUUUGAUACUGGUAGUCUUGAGUUCGAGAGAGGUGAGUGGAAUUCCGAGUGUAGAGGUGAAAUUCGUAGAUAUUCGGAGGAACACCAGUGGCGAAGGCGGCUCACUGGCUCGAUACUGACGCUGAGGUGCGAAAGCGUGGGGAGCAAACAGGAUUAGAAACCCCAGUAGUCCC
rnacentral:rRNA from 1 species